rnacentral:tRNA from 1 species
GGGGUUGUGGCUCAGGGGUAGAGUGCUCACCUAGCAUGUGUGAGGUGCUGGGUUUGAUCCUUAGCACCACG